GACAGAGGGUGCAAACGUUGCUCGGAAUCACUGGGCGUAAAGGGCGUGUAGGCGGGAAUGUAAGUCGGGCGUGAAAAUCCCUAGGCUCAACCUAGGAACUGCACUCGAAACUGCGUUUCUUGAGUGCCGGAGAGGAAAGCGGAAUUCCUGGUGUAGAGGUGAAAUUCGUAGAUAUCAGGAGGAACACCCGUGGCUAAGGCGGCUCUCUAGUACGGUACUGACGCAUGAGACGGCGAAAAG
rnacentral:rRNA from 1 species